UAUACGAUUAUUAGAUUUUAUUAUAUGUUUUUUAUUUCUGAAUACAUUUUUUCUGCAGAUGUAAACAAAAACUGAUUUAAUAUUGUUCAUUACUUGAAUCUGUCAGCAGAUGCUGCUCUACUCAACAGUAUAUUCCAGACCUUCGGGAUGUUGGACCUGGUGAAGAAAGUUCUUGCCUGUCACAUAAGUAAGAUGCACCGCUGUAGGGAGCAGUACACACGCAGCAUACCCUAGAGCAACCGUGUGAUGAGCAUCGCAAACGUGCCAAAGAGCUGAAGAAGCAAAUCACAGCACCUCAACACCGUCCUGAUGACCUUGACCCCCGUGACCUCGCCUCCCACUCUCAAACGCCCCUGUCUGACCCCUUGCCGUCUCGUAAGAACAGUCAGCGGUGUCAGUAUUAUAAACACUGCCACUGAGGAGACUGUUGAGCCACAGACGGAAGCAGCUACAGAACAGAGAGAUGACAAGAAAGAGUGAAAUUGAUGUCAGUGUGUCGUAUAAUUUGUUUGUAGAUGAUGAACUCUUUUUGCAUUUUUAUGAUUCAUUUGAAAGGUUUUUGCUAAAACAGCCAUGGUGUUGUAAUGAGUGUCAGUUGUUGCAUCGCAUUUGAUUUAUUGUAAUCUAACUACAAUUUUAGUGAAAUAUAGGCUGAUAUGUUUAAAGCAAUAAUUCACCCAAAAGUUAAUCAUCAUCAUCUCCUCACCCUCAAGUUGUUCCGAACCUUUGUGUUUCUUUCUUCUGUUGUGCAUCAAAGAAGAUAUUUUGAAGAAUAUUAGUAACCAGUGAGUUUUUUUAGGUAGCCAUUUACUUCCAUAGUAUUUAAAAAAAAAUUCUUCAUAUUGUGGAAGUCAGUGGCUACUGUUAACAGUUUGGUUUACCAACAUUUAAAAAUAUAUAUUCUUUGUUUACCUG